UGGCACAGGACAAUUGCGGAUUCAAAGUUUUGCUGUGGUCGGGCCAUUUGGUAAACGUAGGAAAGGAUAAUGUUGGUGUUCUAAGGUCUG
rnacentral:rRNA from 1 species